CGAGGGGCAUCGGGAGGGAAGCUUGCUUUCCUUGCCGGCGACCGGCGCACGGGUGAGUAACACGUAUGCAACCUGCCCUCUUCAGGGGGACAACCUUCCGAAAGGGAGGCUAAUCCCGCGUAUAUCGGUUUCGGGCAUCCGAGAUCGAGGAAAGAUUCAUCGGAAGAGGAUGGGCAUGCGGCGCAUUAGCUUGACGGCGGGGUAACGGCCCACCGUGGCGACGAUGCGUAGGGGUUCUGAGAGGAAGGUCCCCCACACUGGUACUGAGACACGGACCAGACUCCUACGGGAGGCAGCAGUGAGGAAUAUUGGUCAAUGGGAGAGAUCCUGAACCAGCCAAGCCGCGUGAGGGAAGACGGCCCUAUGGGUUGUAAACCUCUUUUGUCGGAGAACAAAACCCGGGACGUGUCCCGGACUGCGUGUAUCCGAAGAAAAAGCAUCGGCUAACUCCGUGCCAGCAGCCGCGGUAAUACGGAGGAUGCGAGCGUUAUCCGGAUUUAUUGGGUUUAAAGGGUGCGUAGGCGGUCCGUUAAGUCAGCGGUAAAAUUGCGGGGCUCAACCCCGUCGAGCCGUUGAAACUGGCAGACUUGAGUUGGCGAGAAGUACGCGGAAUGCGCGGUGUAGCGGUGAAAUGCAUAGAUAUCGCGCAGAACUCCGAUUGCGAAGGCAGCGUACCGGCGCCAGACUGACGCUGAGGCACGAAAGCGUGGGGAUCCCACAAGGGUAGAUACCCUGGUAGUCCACGCAGUAAAC
rnacentral:rRNA from 1 species